rnacentral:rRNA from 1 species
AUUGAACGCUGGCGGCAGGCUUUACACAUGCAAGUCGGACGAGUGGCGAACGGGUGAGUAACGCAUCGGAACGUACCGAGUAAUGGGGGAUAACUGUCCGAAAGGACAGCUAAUACCGCAUAUUAUUCGAGCGGCCGAUGUCUGAUUAGCUGGUUGGCGGGGUAAAGGCCCACCAAGGCGACGAUCAGUAGCGGGUCUGAGAGGAUGAUCCGCCACACUGGGACUGAGACACGGCCCAGACUCCUACGGGAGGCAGCAGUGGGGAAUUUUGGACAAUGGGCGCAAGCCUGAUCCAGCCAUGCCGCGUGUCUGAAGAAGGCCUUCUGUUUGUAAAGGACUUUUGUCAGGGAAGCGGUAUCUGAAGGAGAAGCACCGGCUAAUCACGGCCCAGCAGCCGCGGUAAUAC